rnacentral:rRNA from 1 species
UUAAGCGACUAAGCGUACACGGUGGAUGCCCUGGCAGUCAGAGGCGAUGAAGGACGUGCUAAUCUGCGAUAAGCGUCGGUAAGGUGAUAUGAACCGUUAUAACCGGCGAUUUCCGAAUGGGGAAACCCAGUGUGAUUCGUCACACUAUCAUUAACUGAAUCCAUAGGUUAAUGAGGCGAACCGGGGGAACUGAAACAUCUAAGUACCCCGAGGAAAAGAAAUCAACCGAGAUUCCCCCAGUAGCGGCGAGCGAACGGGGAGCAGCCCAGAGCCUGAAUCAGUGUGUGUGUUAGUGGAAGCGUCUGGAAAGGCGCGCGAUACAGGGUGACAGCCCCGUACACAAAAAUGCACAUGCUGUGAGCUCGAUGAGUAGGGCGGGACACGUGGUAUCCUGUCUGAAUAUGGGGGGACCAUCCUCCAAGGCUAAAUACUCCUGACUGACCGAUAGUGAACCAGUACCGUGAGGGAAAGGCGAAAAGAACCCCGGCGAGGGGAGUGAAAAAGAACCUGAAACCGUGUACGUACAAGCAGUGGGAGCACGCUUAGGCGUGUGACUGCGUACCUUUUGUAUAAUGGGUCAGCGACUUAUAUUCUGUAGCAAGGUUAACCGAAUAGGGGAGCCGAAGGGAAACCGAGUCUUAACUGGGCGUUAAGUUGCAGGGUAUAGACCCGAAACCCGGUGAUCUAGCCAUGGGCAGGUUGAAGGUUGGGUAACACUAACUGGAGGACCGAACCGACUAAUGUUGAAAAAUUAGCGGAUGACUUGUGGCUGGGGGUGAAAGGCCAAUCAAACCGGGAGAUAGCUGGUUCUCCCCGAAAGCUAUUUAGGUAGCGCCUCGUGAAUUCAUCUCCGGGGGUAGAGCACUGUUUCGGCAAGGGGGUCAUCCCGACUUACCAACCCGAUGCAAACUGCGAAUACCGGAGAAUGUUAUCACGGGAGACACACGGCGGGUGCUAACGUCCGUCGUGAAGAGGGAAACAACCCAGACCGCCAGCUAAGGUCCCAAAGUCAUGGUUAAGUGGGAAACGAUGUGGGAAGGCCCAGACAGCCAGGAUGUUGGCUUAGAAGCAGCCAUCAUUUAAAGAAAGCGUAAUAGCUCACUGGUCGAGUCGGCCUGCGCGGAAGAUGUAACGGGGCUAAACCAUGCACCGAAGCUGCGGCAGCGACGCUUAUGCGUUGUUGGGUAGGGGAGCGUUCUGUAAGCCUGCGAAGGUGUGCUGUGAGGCAUGCUGGAGGUAUCAGAAGUGCGAAUGCUGACAUAAGUAACGAUAAAGCGGGUGAAAAGCCCGCUCGCCGGAAGACCAAGGGUUCCUGUCCAACGUUAAUCGGGGCAGGGUGAGUCGACCCCUAAGGCGAGGCCGAAAGGCGUAGUCGAUGGGAAACAGGUUAAUAUUCCUGUACUUGGUGUUACUGCGAAGGGGGGACGGAGAAGGCUAUGUUGGCCGGGCGACGGUUGUCCCGGUUUAAGCGUGUAGGCUGGUUUUCCAGGCAAAUCCGGAAAAUCAAGGCUGAGGCGUGAUGACGAGGCACUACGGUGCUGAAGCAACAAAUGCCCUGCUUCCAGGAAAAGCCUCUAAGCAUCAGGUAACAUCAAAUCGUACCCCAAACCGACACAGGUGGUCAGGUAGAGAAUACCAAGGCGCUUGAGAGAACUCGGGUGAAGGAACUAGGCAAAAUGGUGCCGUAACUUCGGGAGAAGGCACGCUGAUAUGUAGGUGAAGCGACUUGCUCGUGGAGCUGAAAUCAGUCGAAGAUACCAGCUGGCUGCAACUGUUUAUUAAAAACACAGCACUGUGCAAACACGAAAGUGGACGUAUACGGUGUGACGCCUGCCCGGUGCCGGAAGGUUAAUUGAUGGGGUUAGCGCAAGCGAAGCUCUUGAUCGAAGCCCCGGUAAACGGCGGCCGUAACUAUAACGGUCCUAAGGUAGCGAAAUUCCUUGUCGGGUAAGUUCCGACCUGCACGAAUGGCGUAAUGAUGGCCAGGCUGUCUCCACCCGAGACUCAGUGAAAUUGAACUCGCUGUGAAGAUGCAGUGUACCCGCGGCAAGACGGAAAGACCCCGUGAACCUUUACUAUAGCUUGACACUGAACAUUGAGCCUUGAUGUGUAGGAUAGGUGGGAGGCUUUGAAGUGUGGACGCCAGUCUGCAUGGAGCCGACCUUGAAAUACCACCCUUUAAUGUUUGAUGUUCUAACGUGGACCCGUAAUCCGGGUUGCGGACAGUGUCUGGUGGGUAGUUUGACUGGGGCGGUCUCCUCCUAAAGAGUAACGGAGGAGCACGAAGGUUGGCUAAUCCUGGUCGGACAUCAGGAGGUUAGUGCAAUGGCAUAAGCCAGCUUGACUGCGAGCGUGACGGCGCGAGCAGGUGCGAAAGCAGGUCAUAGUGAUCCGGUGGUUCUGAAUGGAAGGGCCAUCGCUCAACGGAUAAAAGGUACUCCGGGGAUAACAGGCUGAUACCGCCCAAGAGUUCAUAUCGACGGCGGUGUUUGGCACCUCGAUGUCGGCUCAUCACAUCCUGGGGCUGAAGUAGGUCCCAAGGGUAUGGCUGUUCGCCAUUUAAAGUGGUACGCGAGCUGGGUUUAGAACGUCGUGAGACAGUUCGGUCCCUAUCUGCCGUGGGCGCUGGAGAACUGAGGGGGGCUGCUCCUAGUACGAGAGGACCGGAGUGGACGCAUCACUGGUGUUCGGGUUGUCAUGCCAAUGGCACUGCCCGGUAGCUAAAUGCGGAAGAGAUAAGUGCUGAAAGCAUCUAAGCACGAAACUUGCCCCGAGAUGAGUUCUCCCUGACCCUUUAAGGGUCCUGAAGGAACGUUGAAGACGACGACGUUGAUAGGCCGGGUGUGUAAGCGCAGCGAUGCGUUGAGCUAACCGGUACUAAUGAACCGUGAGGCUUAACCUU